rnacentral:rRNA from 1 species
UCCCAGUUCGGACUGGAGUCUGCAACCCGACUCCACGAAGUUGGAUUCGCUAGUAAUCGCGCAUCAGCCAUGGCGCGGUGAAUACGUUCCCGGGCCUUGUACACACCGCCCGUCAAGCCAUGGGAGCCGGGGGCGCCUGAAGUCCGGGACCGCGAGGACCGGCCUAGGGCGAAACUGGUAACUGGGGCUAAGUCGUAACAAGGUAUC